AACUCCAACUGCCCUUUUCACUGUAAGACCUUUAGCCUGGCAAGUGUCUCCCUAAGCUAAAUAUUUGUCCCGAGCUCACCAAAUGUUCCAACAAUGCUUGACAAAGCAUGAAGAUUUUCUCCAGCAGCCCCAAAUUAAUACUUUCUUUCUUCAGGCAAAUUGGCCAGAAAGUGAUUUAAUGGCCCUUUGGAAAGUGCCAACCACUCAAAGUGAGUACAAGUUACACCUGUGGAGAAAUGUACCUGUUUGUUCAUGGAGAAUUUGGGGAUCUGGAAGAGGAAGGGAAUCUUUACAGGCGCCCGGAGAUGCUGCCACUCACUUGGUUAACAGUUUGUUUUUAAAAACUGCAGACUUUUGAGUUUUGGGGAUUUUAUAUAAGUUAUGCCACGGGCAGAAAAAUACUAGGGAAAAUCACCGCAGGGCCUGGUACUCAGAACUUACAGACUGCUGACAACCCUAGAGUUUAGCAAAUCUUCUCGAAAAGCCCCGAGUUUUACAUUUGCUAACAAGCCACACCUGCCAGUAAUUCCAUCCUUCCGACUUCCCCUCCCACUGUGUUUACUGUUCAGAUGCGCAGAUAAAGUGCAAUGGUAGUCAGGCUCUUGCAGGUGGCUGGAAACUUUCUGGGCAGGUCGGGGCCACUGACUUGUUGGGAGGAGACAGCUUUGGAAAACGUUCGAACUUGAGGCUAUUCUGCAGCUCCUCACCGAAGCUUUCUGCUUUUCAGUUUAUCAUAUUCCCAUCUCAUACUGAGGCAUUUUGGGCAAGAGUUUACUUCAUUGAAAGCACUGGGACAGACCCAGGAGCAAUGGUUGGAGACUACAGAAAGGCGAAUUGAAUAUUAAUGUCAAAGGAAAUAUCUUAACAAAUGCAGCUAUAAAAAUAGUAAAAUCACCUAUAUUUGGGCUCUUCCUCAAUGAAAAUCAUCCAUGAAAGACUAUGUGACUACUUGUCAGAAUUUCUUAUUGUGUGCUGAUGCCUGCUUUCAUCCAUUACUCUCUA